rnacentral:rRNA from 1 species
UACGUAGGUGACCAGCGUUGUCCGGAUUUACUGGGCGUAAAGAGCGCGCAGGCGGUCGUUCAAGUCGAGUGUGAAAGCCCCCGGCUCAACUGGGGAGGGUCACUCGAUACUGAUCGACUCGAAGGCAGAAGAGGGAAGCGGAAUUCCCGGUGUAGUGGUGAAAUGCGUAGAUAUCGGGAGGAACACCAGUGGCGAAGACGGCUUUCUGGUCUGCUCUUGACGCUGAGGCGCGAAAGCUAGGGUAGCAAACAGG